rnacentral:rRNA from 1 species
UACGGAGGGUGCGAGCGUUGUCCGGAAUUACUGGGCGUAAAGGGCGCGUAGGCGGCCUGUUAAGUCGAACGUGAAAUCCCCGGGCUCAACCCGGGAACUGAGUCCGAAACUGGCAGGCUUGAAUCCGGGAGAGGGAUGUGGAAUUCCAGGUGUAGCGGUGAAAUGCGUAGAUAUCUGGAGGAACAUCGGUGGCGAAGGCGGCUUUCUGGACAGAUACCGACGCUGAGGCACGAAAGCUAGGGGAGCAAACAGG